ensembl:snRNA U7 U7 small nuclear RNA
GACAAUUUGCGCUUUUAGUAUUUGUCCAGUAGGUUUCCUCAAUGAGAAAGCCCAA